GCUGGUCCGCGUACCUAAGUAGGUAUUAAGGUAUUAUUUUUGAAAUUAAUUUGUGCUGUUUUUAUUCGAUUCGAUCCUAGUUUGUUUCGUGUCUAUUCGUGUUUCAUCUGUGUGACAUUUCCUCUGAUCCGAAGAUUAAAGAAGUAGAAAACUAAAGCCAGUGUUUGUUUUCAGGUACAAGAUACAGGAUACACGUAAAGGUUACCGACGAACAUGCUAUAAAAAAAAGUGCCGGCGAUGAUCAAGAAGGAAACGGAAAAUGAUAAACAAGAGAUGCUCGUCGAAGGUUUUCAUUAUGUAUUUGUUGAAGAGGAAGCAGUUUCCCCUGGCAGAUACAGACCGACGCGACGAACGUGUCAAAAAAAAAGGUAGCGGAAAUGAUUAUUACGAAGGAGACAGAAAAUUAAUACGCACGUAUGAAAGAUGCUCGUCGAAGGAUUUCAUCACUUAUUUGUCGAAGAUUGAAGCAGUUUGGUUUACCCUGGUGUUGAUAUCUCGUUACAUCGUAGACAGUGAUGGUGCUAAAUAUUGUAUUUGGAGUUCCAUACCUCAUACCUGUGAAGUUGUUAAAUGUUUUGUUGGAGAAGAUUUGGAGGAUUCGCUGCUUGGUAAGUUUUUUCAAUCGAGUCGCUGUUAUAAUUUACCUACUUGUA